GGUGGCUCAGCGGUAGAGCGCUUGCCUCGCAUGCCUGAGGCCCUGGGUUCGAUUCCCAGCACCA
rnacentral:tRNA from 1 species